GACAGAGGGUGCAAACGUUGUUCGGAAUUACCGGGCGUAAAGCGAGUGUAGGCGGUGUGGUAAGUCGGAUGUGAAAGCCCCGGGCUCAACCCGGGAAGUGCACUCGAUACUGCCACGCUAGAGUAUCGGAGAGGUUGGUGGAAUUCUCGGUGUAGAGGUGAAAUUCGUAGAUAUCGAGAGGAACACCGGUGGCGAAGGCGGCCAACUGGACGAAUACUGACGCUGAGACUCGAAAGCGUGGGGAGCAAACAGG
rnacentral:rRNA from 1 species